rnacentral:rRNA from 1 species
AGUGAACGCUGGCGGUAGGCCUAACACAUGCAAGUCGAACGGCAGCACAGUAAGAGCUUGCUCUUACGGGUGGCGAGUGGCGGACGGGUGAGGAAUACAUCGGAAUCUACUUUUUCGUGGGGGAUAACGUAGGGAAACUUACGCUAAUACCGCAUACGACCUACGGGUGAAAGCAGGGGAUCUUCGGACCUUGCGCGAUUGAAUGAGCCGAUGUCGGAUUAGCUAGUUGGCGGGGUAAAGGCCCACCAAGGCGACGAUCCGUAGCUGGUCUGAGAGGAUGAUAAGCCACACUUGAAAUGUGACACGGGCCCGACUCCUACGGGAGGCAGCAGUGGGGAAUAUUGGACAAUGGGCGCAAGCCUGAUACAGCCAUACCGCGUGGGUGAAGAAGGGCUUCGGGUUGUAAAGCCCUUUUGUUGGGAAAGAAAAGCAGCAGGUUAAAACCCCGCUGUUCUGACGGUACCCAAAGAAUAAGCACCGGCUAAAUUCGUG